AUUCUCUCUUUGGCAGCACAUAUGCUAAAAUUGGAAUGAUACAGAGAAGAGUAGCAUGGCCCCUGUGCAAAGAUGACACAAAAAUUUGUGACGCAUUCCAUAUUUUU